AAAAAGACAAACCGUAGGUUUCCGUGUCUAAAGUUUAACCGUCUGUCUUAUAUGAAUUUUUUUUAUAAUUAGUAUUUUCAUUGUUGUUAGAUGAUAAAACAUGAUUAAUAUUUUAUGUGUGACUUGUCUUUUUAUUUUUUUCAUAUUUUUUAAAUAAGAUGGACGGUUAAACAUUGAACACGGAAACUCAGGGUUUGUCUUUUU
rfam:Oryza sativa Japonica Group DNA, chromosome 7, cultivar: Nipponbare, complete sequence.